UACGGAGGGUGCAAGCGUUAAUCGGAAUUACUGGGCGUAAAGCGCGCGUAGGCGGUUUUUUAAGUCGGAUGUGAAAGCCCCGGGCUCAACCUGGGAACUGCAUCCGAUACUGGAAGACUAGAAUGCGGGAGAGGGAGGUAGAAUUCCAUGUGUAGCAGUGAAAUGCGUAGGUAUAUGGAGGAAUACCAGUGGCGAAGGCGGCCUCCUGGCUCGAAAUUGACGCUGAGGUGCGAAAGCGUGGGGAGCAAACGGG
rnacentral:rRNA from 1 species